GACGAACGCUGGCGGCGUGCUUAACACAUGCAAGUCGAGGGAGGGAGAGCUUUCGGGCUCUACCCGACCGGCGGACGGGUGAGUAACACGUGAGCGAUCUAUCCCUGUGCGGGGGACAACCCGGGGAAACUCGGGCUAAUACCGCAUGGUCGGUCCUGCUGCAUGGCAGGACCGGGAAAGGUGGCCUCUUCUUGAAAGCUACCGUGCAGGGAGGAGCUCGCGGGCUAUCAGCUAGUGGUGAGGUAAUGGCUCACCAAGGCAACGACGGCUAGGGGGUCUGAGAGGACGACCCCCA
rnacentral:rRNA from 1 species